rnacentral:rRNA from 1 species
GAUGAACGCUAGCGGCAGGCCUAAUACAUGCAAGUCGAACGGGGUCUUCGGACAUAGUGGCGCACGGGUGCGUAACACGUAUGCAACCUACCUUACAUUGGGGGAUAGCCUUUCGAAAGGGAGAUUAAUACCGCAUAAGACAGUAGCUGGGCAUCCAGCAGCUGUUAAAGAUUUAUCGAUGUAAGCUGGGCAUGCGUCCAAUUAGCUAGUUGGUGAGGUAACGGCUCACCAAGGCAAUGAUUGGUAGGGGAACUGAGAGGCCAAUCCCCCACACUGGCACUGAGAUACGGGCCAGACUCCUACGGGAGGCAGCAGUAGGGAAUAUUGGGCAAUGGACGCAAGUCUGACCCAGCCAUGCCGCGUGCAGGAUGAAGGCGUUAUGCGUUGUAAACUGCUUUUAUACAGGAAGAAACGACUCUUGCGAGAGGCAUUGACGGUACUGUAUGAAUAAGCACCGGCUAACUCCGUGCCAGCAGCCGCAGUAAGAC